rnacentral:rRNA from 1 species
GACGAACGCUGGCGGUGUGCUUAACACAUGCAAGUCGAACGGUAAAGCCCUUUCGGGGGUACACGAGUGGCGAACGGGUGAGUAACACGUGAGUAACCUGCCCUCAUCUCUGGGAUAACAGUCGGAAACGGUUGCUAAUACUGGAUAUGAGCUUGCAAGGCAUCUUGUGGGUUGGAAAGAUUUUUUUUGGUUGGGGAUGGACUCGCGGCCUAUCAGCUUGUUGGUGAGGUAGUGGCUCACCAAGGCUUCGACGGGUAGCCGGCCUGAGAGGGCGACCGGCCACAUUGGGACUGAGAUACGGCCCAAACUCCUACGGGAGGCAGCAGUGGGGAAUAUUGCACAAUGGACGGAAGUCUGAUGCAGCAACGCCGCGUGCGGGAUGACGGCCUUCGGGUUGUAAACCGCUUUCAAUUGUGACGAAGCUUUUUUGUGACGGUAGCAGUAGAAGAAGCACCGGCUAACUACGUG